CAAUAGCGUAUAUUAAAGUUGUUGCAGUUAAAAAGCUCGUAGUUGGACCUUGGACCUGGACAGGCGGUCCGCCUCACGGCGAGUACUGUCUUGCUGGUCUUUCCUCUUGGUGAUCUGUUGUUUCGGCAGCAGGGAACCAGGACCUUUACUUUGAAAAAAUUAGAGUGUUCAAAGCAGGCUCGACGCCGGAAUAUAUUAGCAUGGAAUAAUAAAAUAGGACGUGCGGUUCUAUUUUGUUGGUUUUUGGAAUCGCCGUAAUGAUUAAUAGGGACAGUCGGGGGCAUUAGUACUCACAUGCUAGAGGUGAAAUUCUUGGAUUUUGUGAAGACUAACUUCUGCGAAAGCGUUUGCCAAGGAUGUUUUCAUUAA
rnacentral:rRNA from 1 species